rnacentral:misc_RNA from 1 species
AACGCACGAGACCUGCGGACCUGCGGAAGGAUCAUUACGCAUAGCAGGUGGGAGUUCCCUCGCGGCCUCGGCCGUUGGGGGUGCCCCCUCCCGCCCCGAUUAUUCGGGAUACCCUGAUUUUUUGAGCACCGUUUUGUUUCCUCGGUGGGCUUGCCUGCCAAUGGGGACCCCUCAAAACCUUUUGCAAUAAGCAGUAACUGUCAGUAAAUGAAAAUUUAUCACAACUUUUAGCAACGGAUC